GAGUUUGAUCCUGGCUCAGAAUGAACGCUGGCGGCGUGGUUAAGACAUGCAAGUCGAACGGGGUUUGCGGUGUAGCAAUACAUUGCAAAACUCAGUGGCGAACGGGUGCGUAACACGUGAACAAUCUACCACUUAGUGUGGAAUAGCUCGCCGAAAGGCGAAUUAAUACCGCAUGUGGCUACUGGAGACACCUUCGGGACGCUAAAGGUGGCGCAAGCUACCGCUUUUUGAGGAGCCCGCGGCCUAUCAGCUUGUUGGUGAGGUAACGGCUCACCAAGGCGUUGACGGGUAGCUGGUCUGAGAGGACGACCAGCCACACUGGGACUGAGACACGGCCCAGACACCUACGGGUGGCAGCAGUCGAGAAUUUUUGACAAUGGGGGAAACCCUGAUCGAGCGACGCCGCGUGGAGGAUGAAGGUCUUCGGGUUGUAACUCCUGUCAUUUGGGAACAAGGCGUAUGUAUCAACUGUACGUGCGUUGAUAGUACCAGAAGAGGAAGAGACGGCUAACUCUGUGCC
rnacentral:rRNA from 1 species